UACAGAGGGGGCAAGCGUUGUUCGGAAUUACUGGGCGUAAAGGGCGCGUAGGCGGCCUGUUAAGUCGAACGUGAAAUCCCCGGGCUCAACCCGGGAACUGCGUCCGAUACUGGCAGGCUUGAAUCCGGGAGAGGGAUGCGGAAUUCCAGGUGUAGCGGUGAAAUGCGUAGAGAUUAGGAAGAACACCAGUGGCGAAGGCGACUUACUGGACUGUAACUGACGCUGAGGCAUGAAAGCGUGGGGAGCAAACAGG
rnacentral:rRNA from 1 species